UACGGGGGGGGCAAGCGUUGUUCGGAAUUACUGGGCGUAAAGGGCUCGUAGGCGGCCAACUAAGUCAGACGUGAAAUCCCUCGGCUUAACCGGGGAACUGCGUCUGAUACUGGAUGGCUUGAAUCCGGGAGAGGGAUGCGGAAUUCCAGGUGUAGCGGUGAAAUGCGUAGAUAUCAGGAGGAACACCAAUUGCGAAGGCAGCUCGCUGGGACGUGACUGACGCUGAGACGCGAAAGCGUGGGGAGCAAACAGG
rnacentral:rRNA from 1 species